UUCUUUACAGUAUUUUUCGCCAAUGUUCAGCCCUUUUUUUUUGUAAGUUUGAUUUUGAAAAUUUUGUAAAGUUUUGCUAACCAUCAGAGCCGUUCGUUGCCGACAACAAUGUUUUUCAAAAGUGCUGCGAGUUCUGAGUGAAUCAGUGUCAUCGGAAUGUCUCAUUGAGAAACUCUUCCUAACCUGCGGAAUAAAGUGGAUUUUGCGGAGUGAAGAGCAGAACUCGAACUGACAAUAUCAGGUGGAGUUUGUGACUUGACUUCAAUGUGCCCGACGUCCUCUACCACCACAGUCUCUCUAGUAACUUGCAAAAGGUCCGCCUUAGGAAUCAAAGAUUGACUGCUCGAGGAACAGAGAUUGGGAGGGAGAUAUGAACGGUAUACGUUAAGUGCGGCUCAUGAGAAAAGCAAGAGAAGCAGAGGCAGACGCAGAGAAGACAUGAGGUGUUAGACGAGAUAUUGUUGGACCUUGCGGGGGAAGUCGUACAUCCUGCCGCGCAGUCUAUUGCUCGGAGCGCUGCUGUGUCGGCCGCGGUGCGGGAGGCCCUGCGCGGCGGCGCCUGAUGGCAGCAGCGAGUCGGGGGCCGCCAGGACGACCUCGACCACGACCACGGCGACGCAGCUGAGCGGCCGGAGGUAGCUGCUCCCCGCCGCGCAGCCCGCGCGCUCACCGUCAAGAAGCUCCUGCUCUUCCCUCCCCGCGUCCGCACCUACCCCGCGCGCUCGCGUCCGGCUCCACCCUUCCCCG